GCUACCUAAAGCAAUGGGCCCCGGUGACAGAGCCAUUCAGCAACGCCGGCCAUAAAUGACCGUGUGGAACACCGCAUUCUGACAAAAAACAGCACAUUGCUCUGGAGCGCUGCCAAAAUGCCAGGAACAAAAGGUAAUAAGUCGGACAAGAAGUCAACUACCAAGCAACCUCAGAGUCCUAAAGAACAGCCGAAGAAAGGUGAUCAGAAAGGAGAUGACAACAAGAAGCAAGGAGGACAGCCGAAGGGAGAGAAGCAGUAACUUCCAAGCGUUUGUAAAGAUGGCUUUGGAGACGCUGCUGGGUUCUUGCCGUCGCAAACACGGGGGUCCUCGAGGCAGACAGGGCUGAGUCUACACAUCUACACACUGGGUUGUUGGGUGGUCUUCCAACACAUCCGCUAAACUCUCACAGAGAUGGAAAAUUAACCCGAUCUCUGUUCACCGCCACCUGUCCCUCUGGAUGUAUCUGUUCCCCGACCGGUCCACCCAACUGACUGGAUCCUUUGACUCCAGUAAAAAAAAAAAUGGAUCACUGCUUAGAGCAAGACCGCAGUUUGUCACCCUUUCCCAAUUCAAUUGACUAUUUAACAGUCCUUCCAUUUUUCUUGUAAAUAAUUAUUCUAAUAAACAACUAUUUCUUACAUCA